GCCGCUGCCGCUGGGAGACCCUGUCAGAAGCAACCGCCACUGCCGCCUCUUUCACCUCUUCUGGGGCAGGGGCCAGGGCCAGGUUUUAUACAUCCAUAUGUAGACCUUUUUGGAGUUCCACCAGCCAAUUCAAUGGCGUCCUCUUCUACUGUGCCUCUGGGAUUUCACUAUGAAACAAAGUAUGUUGUUCUCAGCUACUUGGGACUCCUCUCUCAGAAGAAGCUGCAAGAGCAUCUUUUCUCACCCCAAGGGAUUCAACUAGAUAUAGCUUUAUAGUCUCUGGAUGAAGAAAUUUUAUUAAAAGUUAAAACUGAAAUUGAAGAAGAGCUAAAAUCUCUGGACAAAGAAAUUUCUGAAGCCUUCACCAGCACGGGCUUUGACCAUCACACUUCUCCAGUGUUCAGCCCUGCCAAUCCAGAAAGCUCAAUGGAAGACUGCCUAGCCCACCUUGAAGAAAAAGUGUCCCAGGAACUGAAAGAGCCUCUCCAUAAAGCAUUACACAUGCUCCUGAGCAAGCCAGUGACAUAUCAGGCAUUUCGGGAAUGUACACUGAAGACCGCAGUUCAUACCAGUGGCUGGAAUAAGAUUUUGGUGCCUCUGGUUUUGCUGCGACAAAUGCUUUUGGAGUUGACAAGGCGUGGUCAAGAAUCUUUGAGUGCACUGCUGAAGUUUGGCGUGACAUAUUUGGAAGACUAUUCAACAGAGUACAUCAUUCAGCAAGGUGGCUGGGUAUGAGCUGUUAUACAUUAAAAAUAUUUUCUU